GACGAGCCUCACAAACGUUAUUCGGAAUUACUGGGCUUAAAGGGUGCGUAGGCGGCGCGGCAAGUUGGGUGUGAAAUCCCUCAGCUUAACUGAGGAAGGGCGCCCAAAACUACCGUGCUCGAGGGAGAUAGAGGAGUGCGGAACUUAGGGUGGAGCGGUGAAAUGCGUUGAUAUCCUAGGGAACACCGGUGGCGAAAGCGGCACUCUGGAUCUCUUCUGACGCUGAGGCACGAAAGCUAGGGUAGCAAACGGG
rnacentral:rRNA from 1 species